rnacentral:misc_RNA from 1 species
GAUGAAGAACGUAGCGAAAUGCGAUAAGUAAUGUGAAUUGCAGAAUUCAGUGAAUCAUCGAAUCUUUGAACGCACAUUGCGCCCGCCAGUAUUCUGGCGGGCAUGCCUGUCUGAGCGUCAUUUCAACCCUCAUGCCCCUAGGGCGUGGUGUUGGGGAUCGGCCAAAGCCCGGGAGGGACGGCCGGCCCCUAAAUCUAGUGGCGGACCCGUCGUGGCCUCCUCUGCGAAGUAGUGAUAUUCCGCAUCGGAGAGCGACGAGCCCCUGCCGUUAAACCCCCAACUUUCCAAGGUUGACCUCAGAUCAGGUAGGAAUACCCGCUGAACUUAAGCAUACAAUAAGCGGAGGA